rnacentral:misc_RNA from 1 species
GAUGAAGAACGCAGCGAAAUGCGAUAAGUAGUGUGAAUUGCAGAAUUCAGUGAAUCAUCGAAUCUUUGAACGCACAUUGCGCCCCUUGGUAUUCCAUGGGGCAUGCCUGUUCGAGCGUCACUUGUACCUUCAAGCUUUGCUUGGUGUUGGGUGUUUGUCUCGCCUUUGCGUGUAGACUCGCCUUAAAAUAAUUGGCAGCCGGCGUAUUGAUUUCGGAGCGCAGUACAUCUCGCGCUUUGCACUCAUAACGACAGCGUCCAAAAGUACAUUUUACACUCUUGACCUCGGAUCAGGUAGGGAUACCCGCUGAACUUAAGCAUAUCAAUAAGCGGAGGA